CAAUAGCGUAUAUUUAAGUUGUUGCAGUUAAAAAGCUCGUAGUCGGAUUUUGGCUGAGAACGAUCGGUCCGCCGUUAGGUGUGCACUGAUUGGUCUCAGCUUCCUGGUGAGGAGGUGUGCUUCACGGCCACUUAGUCACCGUGGUUACUUUGAAAAAAUUAGAGUGUUCAAAGCGGGCUUACGCUUGAAUAUAUUAGCAUGGAAUAACACCAUAGGACUCCUGUCCUAUUUCGUUGGUCACGGGACGGGAGUAAUGAUUAAGAGGAACAGUUGGGGGCAUUCGUAUUUCAUUGUCAGAGGUGGAAUUCUUGGAUUUAUGAAAGACGAACUUCUGCGAAAGCAUUUGCCAAGGAUGUUUUCAUUGA
rnacentral:rRNA from 1 species